UACGUAGGUGGCAAGCGUUAUCCGGAUUUAUUGGGUGUAAAGGGCGUGUAGGCGGGAGCGCAAGUCAGAUGUGAAAACUCAGGGCUCAACCCUGAGCCUGCAUUUGAAACUGUGUUUCUUGAGUGCUGGAGAGGCAAUCGGAAUUCCGUGUGUAGCGGUGAAAUGCGUAGAUAUGCGGAGGAACACCAGUGGCGAAGGCGGAUUGCUGGACAGUAACUGACGCUGAGGCGCGAAAGCGUGGGGAGCAAACAGG
rnacentral:rRNA from 1 species